GAUGAACGCUGGCGGCGUGCCUAAUACAUGCAAGUCGAGCGAACAGACGAGGAGCUUGCUCCUCUGACGUUAGCGGCGGACGGGUGAGUAACACGUGGAUAACCUACCUAUAAGACUGGGAUAACUUCGGGAAACCGGAGCUAAUACCGGAUAAUAUAUUGAACCGCAUGGUUCAAUAGUGAAAGACGGUUUUGCUGUCACUUAUAGAUGGAUCCGCGCCGCAUUAGCUAGUUGGUAAGGUAACAGCUUACCAAGGCAACGAUGCGUAGCCGACCUGAGAGGGUGAUCGGCCACACUGGAACUGAGACACGGUCCAGACUCCUACGGGAGGCAGCAGUAGGGAAUCUUCCGCAAUGGGCGAAAGCCUGACGGAGCAACGCCGCGUGAGUGAUGAAGGUCUUCGGAUCGUAAAACUCUGUUAUUAGGGAAGAACAAAUGUGUAAGUAACUAUGCACGUCUUGACGGUACCUAAUCAGAAAGCCACGGCUAACUACGUGC
rnacentral:rRNA from 1 species